rnacentral:rRNA from 1 species
UACGUAGGGUGCAAGCGUUGUCCGGAAUUAUUGGGCGUAAAGAGCUCGUAGGCGGUUUGUCGCGUCUGGUGUGAAAAUCCAGGGCUUAACCCUGGACCUGCAUCGGGUACGGGCAGACUAGAGUGCGGUAGGGGAGAUUGGAAUUCCUGGUGUAGCGGUGGAAUGCGCAGAUAUCAGGAGGAACACCGAUGGCGAAGGCAGAUCUCUGGGCCGUAACUGACGCUGAGGAGCGAAAGCAUGGGGAGCGAACAGG